UGCAAUCCCAUUAGCUAAGUUUUCAUGUCAUCGGGUGUAGUUCGUAAAGGUUGAAGCAUGUAUGUUAGGAUGGUAAGGUUAGAAUAAUUAAGAAUGAAGUGUGAAUUCAUGCCAGGAAUAAUAAGUGUGAAGUUUGAUUUCCUCCCUUCUGUAAUAAGCAGCCAAUGAGGUUACAAGGAUCGUUCAAGACUAUCCAGCCCCAGCUAACACGGCUUGACAUACCGAGUUUUGACCAUGACCCUUUCUCUGCCAUCAGAAUCUUCGUUCUCCAUAGAGACGUUGGAUGCAGAAUUAUACUCCUAUCCUGCACAUGUUCAGGAGAGAAGAACAUCCAUAGACAAGGAGCUGCUGCAGCAGAUAGACAACUUCCUACAGGUAACGAGCACACACAUGGUAAUCAUUAACGCAUAGAAAGGUUUAAAGUCUGCACUGAGAAUCUUAGGGUGUUUCUUUGUGUGUGCAUGUGUCUGUGUGGUGAGUUAAGGUGGAAGUGUUUCCUGAUGUGCUCUCUUAGAGGGUAUGUAUCUGAAGGCUCUAACCUGUAUGUGUGUGUAGGAACUGAGGAGGCAGACUGUUGUACCCUCUGUCCUCUCUGAAGGGGUUAGUGUGUGAAGGCUCUAGCCUGCUGCUUCUGUUGCUGCUCCCUCUGAGGAAGAACGUCUCGAAGAACAUGACCUUCCUCUCACCAGGACACACACACACACAUCUCAAGUCAGUUGUUUUAGUCACUGCCCUAAUCAUAUUUUUUGUGCAAGGUAAGUGUUCUACACUGUUCUAUGUGUUCUCAGUUUUGAUUUAAUUCCUAGACACUUCCACCCAACUGUGUGAUGAGUCUGGUGGGCCAAUGCGUCAAACUGUGGUCAUAGGGAGCUGGGUGUAGAUGGUGGAGGUGUUUGGGGUAGCAAGGACAGUGGACUCAGUGGAGGACAUCCCAGCCACUUGGCAGUGUCGGCACUGCUACUUCCCACAUGACAGGUAAGUGGACAGCUACUUAUACAAUCAGUCAAUCAAAAGUCUAUAUUUGGCCUUUUUUUUUUUUUACUUCAGCAGUUGUCACAAAGUGCUUUUACAGUAACCUGGCCUACACAAGGGGAACCUGGGACACACUGCUCCUGCCAUUUUUCUCCCCGUGUGAUGACAUAUCCUGUUUAGGCACCUGGCCAAGUCCAGGAGGAGUUGAAGGCGGAGCAUGCCUCGAACCUGCGACGCACCCGGUGGUCUACGGUAUGAUGGCUGACUUACUUACUUCAAAAACCGAGCGACGCCUUCAUGUUCACCCACGAAGACGUAUCUCCCUUCGCCUCCCACCAACCCCCAAGGGGCACCUUCAACAGCUCCUCACCUUGACGACACACACUGUGGCUGAAUCUCAAUAGUCGAGUUAGUAGCUUCCUCUGUCACUUUAGUGAGGACAAUACUGUUCUGGUUACACUAGUAUGUACAGAGGCCCUCGAUCAUCAAAUAUGAACGCUUUUAUGGAGGUUUUGUCUUAUUUUGUGACACUGUUUUUACAGUCUUUUGUUUGUAUUGGCUGCAUUAAAACUAAUUUCUAUCAACUGUGUUGAUAUGGCGAUUGCAACAAUUGUCAGUUGGUGUGACAAAUACAAUUUCAUGUCUUGUAUAUUUUCCAUGCUUUUUCUUUUAUUCAUUAUUUCAUUAACAGCUACUUUGCUUUGGCUCUUAUCACUACAAAUUUGU